AAUGGUUUCCAUCGACCCGUCUUGAAACACGGACCAAGGAGUCUAACAAAUAUGCGAGUAGUAAGGUGGCAAACCUUGGAUGCGCAAUGAAAGUGACUUUGGUGGGAUCCGUGUAACAGCGGUGCACCAUCGACCGGCCGGCCCUCGGGCGUGGUCUGCGUACGAGCAUAUCUGUUGGGACCCGAAAGAUGGUGAACUAUGCCUGAGCAGGGCGAAGCCAGAGGAAACUCUGGUGGAGGCUCGCAGCGGUUCUGACGUGCAAAUCGAUCGUCAAAUUUGCGUAUAGGGGCGAAAGACUAAUCGAACC
rnacentral:rRNA from 1 species